rnacentral:rRNA from 1 species
CCCUUAGAUGUUCUGGGCCGCACGCGCGCUACAAUGGUAAACUCAGCGAGUCUCCUUUACCGACAGGUAUAGGAAAUCUUUUCAGUGUUUGCCGUGAUGGGGCUAGACCCUUGUAAUUAUUGGUCUCCAACGAGGAAUUCCUAGUAAACGCAGGUCAUUAACCUGCAUUGAUUACGUCCCUGCCCUUUGUACACACCGCCCGUCGCACCUACCGAUUGAAUGGUCCGGUGAAGUCUCCGGACUGAGUACUUUUAGUACUUGGGAAGUUGACUAAACCUUACUAUUUAGAGGAAGGUGAAGUCGUAACA